CCCGCCUUAACUCAGUUGGUAGAGUGCGCGGCUGUAGUAUGGUUUGUGUGGAUUAUCCACAUACCGCGCGGUUACCGCGAUGCCCCCGGUUCGAGUCUGGGAGGCGGGA
rnacentral:tRNA from 2 species